UACGUAGGGCGCAAGCGUUGUCCGGAAUUAUUGGGCGUAAAGAGCUCGUAGGCGGUCCGUCACGUCUGCCGUGAAAACCCGGGGCUCAACUCCGGGCCUGCAGCCGAUACGGGCAGACUAGAGUUCGGCAGGGGAGACUGGAAUUCCUGGUGUAGCGGUGAAAUGCGCAGAUAUCAGGAGGAACACCAAUUGCGAAGGCAGCUCGCUGGGACGUUACUGACGCUGAGACGCGAAAGCGUGGGGAGCAAACAGG
rnacentral:rRNA from 1 species